CCAGAAGGGAUCAAAACUCAAAAGCUGAGUUCCACGGGUGGACAAUAAAGGCCUCGUAGAGUGCACGGCUCCCCCUGCUCUGUUUCUCCAUGAUCUGCAUAAAGGAAAUAUGAGCAAAUCGAACCUCAGAAGACUUAGUGAUUUAUUUGAGGCGCAUAGCUACUGAGGGUCAGGACGCCCCCCUCCACAGGCAUAAGUCAGGGGUACCCACUGGUGAAUGCAGAGACCUUGGAAAGCUGGGGCCUGAGAUGCUGGGGUCAAGGCGAGAGGCAUGGAUUUGCAGUUGAGAAGCAAGAAGCUGCGCGUUAACCCUGCCUGGGAGUUGGUGAGGCCCCUGGCGGCCAAAUCAGGGAGUGCAGCCUAUGCCUCUGAGGAGGAAAACAAAGGUUUCACAAGGGGUGCAUUCCUCCCAGAUGUCUUCUGGAUGCCCUGACCUAGCCUGUCUGAGCA